AACGCGAGAACCUUACCAAGUCUUGACAUCCUGCGACGGUGCUGGAAACAGUACUUUCCUUCGGGACGCAGAGACAGGUGGUGCAUGGUUGUCGUCAGCUCGUGUCGUGAGAUGUUGGGUUAAGUCCCGCAACGAGCGCAACCCUUACUGUCAGUUACUACGCAAGAGGACUCUGGCAGGACUGCCGUUGACAAAACGGAGGAAGGUGGGGAUGACGUCAAAUCAUCAUGCCCUUUAUGACUUGGGCUACACACGUACUACAAUGGCGUUAAACAAAGAGAAGCAAGACCGCGAGGUGGAGCAAAACUCAGAAACAACGUCCCAGUUCGGACUGCAGGCUGCAACUCGCCUGCACGAAGUCGGAAUUGCUAGUAAUCGUGGAUCAGCAUGCCACGGUGAAUACGUUCCCGGGCCUUGUACACACCG
rnacentral:rRNA from 1 species